rnacentral:lncRNA from 1 species
UUGUAAGGAAGGUUCAGAGAUGACAAAACCAGCUGGGCUUUCCAGAUAAAUACAGCUGAUCUGCUCAGCCCAGCAGCCCAGUCUAACUUGCCUCUGCACCACAGUAAGUAUAUGCCUGAAGACUGCAUAGGCACAGCUAUAGGCACUACCUAGCCUGAGUACCAAUAUAGGUGCUGCGUACUUCAGUGUCAGCUGUGCACCAUUCUGCGUUGCAGAUUGCCUAUGAAGAAAGCAUUUUUGUAGAAGUCAUGCAUAAUUAUUACUCAAGAAGAGGAUAUCAAAGGAUUUUUCCAAAAGGAUUUGGUGCUCUCAAAGGCAAAAUCUUGCUUGCCUAUUAAUGCAUGAAACCUCACUGAAGUCACUGAAACGACUCGUGUGAAAAGAUAUACUAAAGUUCAUUAUAGGAAGAUUAGCYGUUUGGGUUUAAGAAAACUGUAUACAAAGUGCCAUUGUGAAGAGAGGUAGUUUCGGUCUUUGUCAUUUACAUACCAAGCAGAUACUUCCACCCUUUGCUCCCAAUUUGAUAACUGAGCAAAAGCAUAACAAUAAAGAAAGAAAAAUACAUAUU